GUGCGAGACCGAUAGCGAACAAGUACCGUGAGGGAAAGAUGAAAAGAACUUUGAAAAGAGAGUUAAAGAGUACCUGAAACUGCUGAAAGGGAAGCGAAUCGUAUCCAGUGUCUAUAAUCUGCGGCAUAUUUCAUUGGCGGCAGUGUGCGUGCUUUUGCGUCGGAAGCGGCUUUUGUUGCUCUGUGCUUUUGCUGUGCGUGGUGUUGCUGGUGCCCUGUGUUGCGGUGGGACGUCAGAGUCAGUUUGUAUGCUGCGGGAAAUGGCUGCCGAGGAGGUAGGUCGAGAUUUCGGUCUUGGCUGCUAUAUCUUGGUGGUUUGUUGUCGUGGUUGGGACUGAGGUGCCUACAAUGUGCUUUUGAGUGUGCCGGGUUCUCAUUUGGUGGACUGUUUGGAUAGCUUGCUAUGCUUGUGGUUUUUUCAUCGGGUGAUUGAGUCUGGUGGUAACUUGUUGCUGUUCGGGACUUUGA
rnacentral:rRNA from 2 species